rnacentral:lncRNA from 1 species
AACGCUGACUCGCCCCAUUCGCCCAAAUCAUAACACACACGAACGGAGACUCACAAAAUCCCUAAAUCAAACGCGUACUGUUCUUCUUCUUCGAAGAACACGCGAACCAAGCCCCAAAUUCCUUUCAAAUUCGGGCGAUUGAGCCUCAAAUCUAUCCUUACGUGUUCCUUCUUCUCUCCUCGUCACCUUUUCUAAUGGUUUCUGAUGCCAAUAUUCUCCUCUCCUCUCACUCGCUCGAAAUGGGGUUUUAUCUCACGAUUGGAAGCUUCUGGGAACAAUUUGUUGGAUGAGGGUGAGGCAUUGGAUUGAUUUCAUUCAAUACAAGCCCCACAUUCAUCAGGACUUCAUUAGGAGCUCUAUCCGAUUUUGAAAGGGACUCGGAAAAAUGUGAAGAAAAAAGGUUGAAAGGGUUCUAAAAAGUCUUUCUUCUUCUCUACUGUUCAACUUAGUUUAAUUUCGGUUACUAACAACAACAACUACCCAGUAUAGUCCCACAAAGUGGGGUCUGGGGAGGGUAAUAUGUAGACGAGCCUUACCCCUACCCGAAAGGUCAGAGAAGCUGUUUCCAAUAAAAAAAUACAAAAAAAAAUCGUUUGGUGUUUAAUCUGAGUCUCUCUGUUUUGUGUAUUUGGAAAUUCGAAAUUGUUCAUUCUUCACAUAGUGAAUAUGGUUGCAACCUCAAGUGUGAGUUUGUUGUCCUGAAUUUUAUUUUGUGUUAAUGGAAGUCGACUGAGUACCGUUGGUUUUGAGUUACUCCAAAGCUGUUCGCUUAGCUGCUGACUCGCGAGUUCAGUGUGAUCUCUGUUUGGACUCGCUUGCUCUGAGGAUCGUUGUAACCCUUCAAUUACAUUAAUCAAAAUUUUAUUUUCAGGUUCACUUCAAAACUCUCUUAUUUUGCUAUAUUACGUGAGCUGAAAUGUUUGUUUGAACUGAUUGCUAAAAAAUUAAGAAGUAAAACAUCACUGAACAAUUUUAGGAUGUUGGGAUGAGCUUAAGUUAGUAUUCUGAGUUUUUCUGUCCGUUUCUUAAUGGUUCGAGUCUGAAACUGUCCUAACUCAUAUGUCGCAAAAAAUCCAUUUGUGUUUCUUUGACAUGGUUUGGAAAUUGGCUCGUGUUCAUACUUAAAUCCCUGCGGGCUAGGUUCAUGUGUCGAUUCCCAAACUUCUAUUAAUGGUUACUAACUGUUUCUAAAGUUAUUUGGAAAUUCGAUGUUGUAGUUUAAUGGAAAUGUGUAUUUGUUGCUGGAUUGAUUUAGUUGAAGUUAAGUCACAAUUGGUCCGAUUGCUCAAGCCAGUUGGUGUUGCGAUCCUCUCCGUCAUGCUCUUGCACUGAUUUAUACCGGUUUUUUGUUAUUAUUUGCAAAUAAAAGAUAAUCCCAAACAGUCAUAUAGCUCUUUCCAGCUGUGCAAUCUAGUUAAGUGUCAAUUGAAGGCUGGAAUUAUUUUUUGUAGCAUUCACUGAUUGUAUAUAUUCGUAUUGGCUCUAUUUUCCUUCUCUUGUUCGAGACUUGCCUGCCUUUUUACCAUUAUGAGGGUCAUGUCCUUCUGAGCUGCUGAAGAAGCCAAUUACAGCAGGCAGUAUUUAGGACAUUUGCCUGGACUGUUGAGCCCUGCUGUAAGUCUGCCUUGUUUUGCAGCUAUCUAGGCAGUCUAUUUGCGCGAUGUCAAGUGCAAAUUCUGCACUGGUUGGCUUGUAGCAGCCUUGAUUAUUAGUUGUUCAUGUUCUGUAGUCAUCAUCCUUGAUGCAUCUGUUAUGGCAUUCACAAUGUGCGUGUGAUAUUUCUGUUUAAUGCUUAUUGACAUCAUGUUUCUUAACGAACCAACAUGCCUAUUAAAUUUAAUAAAGUAGGACAUAGUGUGAUUGGGGAAAAGGUUUCAGUUGGGAAUUUGGCAAGUUUCUUGGUUCUUGAAAGGAACUGAAGUUCUCACAACUUUAAUAGUUGGAGUUGUUACGACCAUUUGUUGCUGCCUCAGUUUGAUAUAUUUUGCUGAUUGUUGAUCACUAGCUGAGUUGUUUUGAAUACUUGCUCCUGCAGCAUACUAGCUUUAGAUUUCUCGCAUAUUGGAUUACUGGAAUAUCUUGCCUUGAGAUGUUGUUACAGAGGUACUAGUUGUCGCAGUUUGGGACUGCCG